UGAUGAUGAUGAUGAUGAUGAUGAUGAUUGUAGGGCACCAAAUACUAGAUAAGAUGCUUCUGAUGUGAACAUGUAAGCUGAGCACAGUAUUUUCUCCCCGUGGUAUAGAACCUAAGGAAAGAUCUAAGUCCAUCCAAACCUUUCUCCUUAUCUCAGAGGAGAUCUUCUCACGUUGCAACAAGACUGCAACAAACGGUUACACAUGAGGCCUUUAUCUCUUCACUGGCAUUUAUUUAUCUGCUUCCAUAAUGAAGAGUAAUCAGGAGAAGAAGAAAGAAACAGUAGGAAGAAAGACAAUUAUCUUGCUGCUAGAAACUCCUGAGUCUUCAGGCUGUAUUAAAGUUGCCUGCCUCUAA